rnacentral:tRNA from 1 species
GAACCCGUGGCUCAGUGGUUAGAGCGGUUGAGUUAUAAUCAACAGGUCACAGAGGUUGUAAAAUUUGAGACUGGGUAUGACGGCUAAUAAGCCAGGAAUGGCCAGUCCAGUUUCA